rnacentral:rRNA from 1 species
UACGUAGGGGGCUAGCGUUGUCCGGAAUCAUUGGGCGUAAAGCGCGUGUAGGCGGCCCGGUAAGUCCGCUGUGAAAGUCGGGGGCUCAACCCUCGGAAGCCGGUGGAUACUGUCGGGCUCGAGUACGGAAGAGGCGAGUGGAAUUCCUGGUGUAGCGGUGAAAUGCGCAGAUAUCGGGAAGAACACCCGUGGCGAAGGCGGUUCUCUGGGACGGUACUGACGCUGAGGCGCGAAAGCCAGGGGAGCAAACGGG